rnacentral:rRNA from 1 species
GAAUGCUGACAUAAGUAACGAUAAAGCGGGUGAAAAGCCCGCUCGCCGGAAGACCAAGGGUUCCUGUCCAACGUUAAUCGGGGCAGGGUGAGUCGACCCCUAAGGCGAGGCCGAAAGGCGUAGUCGAUGGGAAACGGGUUAAUAUUCCCGUACUUGGUGUUACUGCGAAGGGGGGACGGAGAAGGCUAUGUUGGCCGGGCGACGGUUGUCCCGGUUUAAGCGUGUAGGUGUGUGUUCCAGGUAAAUCCGGUUCACUUUAACACUGAGGCGUGAUGACGAGGCACUACGGUGCUGAAGCAACAAAUGCCCUGCUUCCAGGAAAAGCCUCUAAGCAUCAGGUAACAUCAAAUCGUACCCCAAACCGACACAGGUGGUCAGGUAGAGAAUACCAAGGCGCUUGAGAGAACUCGGGUGAAGGAACUAGGCAAAAUGGUGCCGUAACUUCGGGAGAAGGCACGCUGACACGUAGGUGAAGUGAUUUACUCAUGGAGCUGAAGUCAGUCGAAGAUACCAGCUGGCUGCAACUGUUUAUUAAAAACACAGCACUGUGCAAACACGAAAGUGGACGUAUACGGUGUGACGCCUGCCCGGUGCCGGAAGGUUAAUUGAUGGGGUCAGCGCAAGCGAAGCUCCUGAUCGAAGCCCCGGUAAACGGCGGCCGUAACUAUAACGGUCCUAAGGUAGCGAAAUUCCUUGUCGGGUAAGUUCCGACCUGCACGAAUGGCGUAAUGAUGGCCAGGCUGUCUCCACCCGAGACUCAGUGAAAUUGAACUCGCUGUGAAGAUGCAGUGUACCCGCGGCAAGACGGAAAGACCCCGUGAACCUUUACUAUAGCUUGACACUGAACAUUGAGCCUUGAUGUGUAGGAUAGGUGGGAGGCUUUGAAGUGUGGACGCCAGUCUGCAUGGAGCCGACCUUGAAAUACCACCCUUUAAUGUUUGAUGUUCUAACGUGGACCCGUGAUCCGGGUUGCGGACAGUGUCUGGUGGGUAGUUUGACUGGGGCGGUCUCCUCCUAAAGAGUAACGGAGGAGCACGAAGGUUGGCUAAUCCUGGUCGGACAUCAGGAGGUUAGUGCAAUGGCAUAAGCCAGCUUGACUGCGAGCGUGACGGCGCGAGCAGGUGCGAAAGCAGGUCAUAGUGAUCCGGUGGUUCUGAAUGGAAGGGCCAUCGCUCAACGGAUAAAAGGUACUCCGGGGAUAACAGGCUGAUACCGCCCAAGAGUUCAUAUCGACGGCGGUGUUUGGCACCUCGAUGUCGGCUCAUCACAUCCUGGGGCUGAAGUAGGUCCCAAGGGUAUGGCUGUUCGCCAUUUAAAGUGGUACGCGAGCUGGGUUUAGAACGUCGUGAGACAGUUCGGUCCCUAUCUGCCGUGGGCGCUGGAGAACUGAGGGGGGCUGCUCCUAGUACGAGAGGACCGGAGUGGACGCAUCACUGGUGUUCGGGUUGUCAUGCCAAUGGCACUGCCCGGUAGCUAAAUGCGGAAGAGAUAAGUGCUGAAAGCAUCUAAGCACGAAACUUGCCCCGAG